CUGGGACCAGAGCCCAGGACGCCGGGAACAGGGGUCACCGCCAUCCCCCAGUGCCCCCACCCCCACCCCCGAGUCCUGGUGUACACACAGAUCCAGACACCGGGACACAACAAGACCAAACAGACCUGGAGACCCUGGAGAAAAACAAAAACAAAAACAAAAACCAAAACCAAAAAGUAAAUAAAUAAAAUUAAUAAAUAAAAACCUUAAGAGACUUGGAGACUUCAGCCACGGGGAACUGUCAGGGAUGGAGAGAUAAGACAGAGGCCACUCCACUAGAAGAGCAAGAACCCACCCCAGGAAUAGAGAUAGUGCUAUUAAACAGAGGCAAGCUUGACACACGCCGGGACGCCCCUGAUAUCAGGACAAUCUUUUUUUUUCUCACUAGGGCCUUCGAGCCCUGUUCCUGGGACUUCCCCCUCGCCUCAUCUCGGUUUCACAUCUGUAAACGUGGGGACCUUCAUACGCAGACCUUAGGGCAAUGUCGCUGUGGUGACGAUGAAGGGAUUCUGAAGACCUGGAGAUUGAAGCGCUGAUCACCGACACACCAAUCCAAACGGAGUCAUUCCGCAUCGAUUGAACAUUUACCACAGGGACUCCUAUGCCGCUUCUGGCCUCGAAAGGCACCGGGCACCUGGCAUGUAUGUGGUGCACAUGCAUUUACACAGCUCCCAGGUCUCCUCCAGGGAACCAGGGAGGUC
ensembl:lncRNA